AAGAGGAGGCACCUAUGCAUUGAAAAUGCAUACUGGAAUGUGCCGACGAAAUGCCGCCGAACGAAUGUGAGGGGGCAAUACUAAAG
rfam:Coprococcus sp. CAG:782 genomic scaffold, scf199